rnacentral:lncRNA from 1 species
GCCUGUGAAGCUGACAUAGCAACAGGUGACGCUAUGCAAGCUUUUAAUAUAAUGAUUUGCAUUAUUCAAAUAGAUACAGGUUUAUUGGGGUGGCAUGACCAGUUGCCAUGGUAGCUAGCUUGCCACUGAAUACUGUACAAAAUCAUUCUAUAUAUAAACGAUAAUACUUGAAUGAAUCAUUUGACAUGUAGAAUUUAAUAAUAAUUCCAUAUAUAGAAAUAUUAAGUCAGUUUUUGUUCCAAUUAUCGUUUUAAUGCAAUAAUGACACCUUCAAGGCUACCCCUAUUGCACAACAACUGAACAAUCUGCUGAUGCUUGAUGGAGAGAGUUUCAGCCCGGGCUGAAAUUUCGGCCUGGUUUGAGCUGCCCAGGCUGAAAUUUCAGCCCGGGCUGAAAAAACAACCGUUUAAAUGGCUUUAUUUUGCAUGUUUGUUUCAUCUUUAAAUACUUUACAUAUAACCACAGUCUCACACUGCGUGUUUGUUUCAUCUUUAAAUACUUUACAUAUAACCACAGUCAGGGUGUUAGCCAGGUGUCCGUCCGACCGUCCUAUGGAUGGCCACUUCUGAAUUCGGAUGGCUAAAUUUUAAUGGACGGCCUAAGGGAAUAUUUUCUUUAAAUAGCAAUUUACAAGCUUUGUAAUAUUUCUUGAAUACUUCGAAUUGUUGUCAUCUGCUGUUUACUUUACUUAUGGCAUAUGUUUUUUAUAUUUUUUCCCGUCGAAAACACGUUGAAUAUGGCUGAAUUGAAGUAUCGACAAACGCUAUCGCUCGAGCGCCACAUGCUUUAGAGUUAUACUUACGGUAAAGAUGGCUACAAAAUGAGCCAAACGCAUAAAAAAGGGGAAAAAUCUUGGUGAUUGAUAAAAAUAACUAAACACUACACUGCUAUAUUGUGUUCUUCAUUAUAGCAUAUACUGUACAUCGUAGUGAUCAUACGGUUCAUACCAUACGUGUGCUUUUACUAAUUUAAUAACGGAAAUGUGCAUCUAAAACUAAAAGUAAAAAGGUUCAAUGAAUAGAACACCACAAUUCCACAACAAAAAAUUGCGGCCACGCCUAAAAACAUGUGGCCACGCCCACAAUAUUAUUUUGGACGGCCACUUUCGAAAUCCUGGCUAAAACCCUGACCACAGUCUCACACAAGUCAAAUAGUCGACUAAUCAGCGUCUGAUUGCUUGAAAGAAGCAUAACAGGCUUAUUGUCCUAUUUCGUGACACUCAGAUUAUUUCACUCAGCCCGGUCUGACAUUUCAGCCCGGGUUGACUAUAAACAUAGCUCUGACUAAACUCAGUCCGGACUCAAACUGCUCAUGUAAUCGUGAUGCAAUUUCAGCUCAUUUUAAUAACCCCCCGGCUGAAACUCAGCCCGGGCUGAAAACUCUCCAUGUAAUCAGCCCCUAAGAUUGUACUCAGUCAGAACUGCAAAACUAUAUAAUACAAUUGUGAGCAUUAUCAAAAAAUAUAGUAUACUCUGUCUCUGAGUACUGUAGUGACAGCCAUGCAGGUGAAUAUAUAAAUGUAGGCUGGUAGGAUUAUUUCAUAUUAUGCUAUUAAACAAUGGACAUAUCUCAGAGAUACAUUUUUACAGACCGUCAUACCUUUUACAAACGUCGGUUGACAUGUUAUUUACAUGUAACUGCUGGUAAGUUAAUAUGUGCAGACAACAAAUAUCCACACUGGGUUGCUAUAGGACUAUAUCUUUGUGCAAGUCAGACAAUUUUACGAUACUGCUCAAUGCCUCAAUUGAUAAUGCCAAAAUAACAAUAACAAACUCUCUCUGUGAUUAUUUAUCCCUUAGAAGUACGAUGUUGCAUCAAGCCUACGAUCAAGCUCAAUCAGAUUUUUUACAAACUGAUAAAUAUCGACGAAGUGACGAAGUCCACUUGUU